GAUUCCCCUAGUACGGCGAGUGAAGCGGGAAGAGCUCAAAUUUGAAAUCUGGUAGCCUUCGGUUGCCCGAGUUGUAAUCUAGAGAAGUGUUUUCCGUGCCGGCCCAUGUACAAGUCCCUUGGAACAGGGCGUCAUAGAGGGUGAGAAUCCCGUCCUUGACAUGGACCCCCGGUGCUUUGUGAUACACUUUCAACGAGUCGAGUUGUUUGGGAAUGCAGCUCAAAAUGGGUGGUGAAUUCCAUCUAAAGCUAAAUAUUGGCGAGAGACCGAUAGCGAACAAGUACCGUGAGGGAAAGAUGAAAAGCACUUUGGAAAGAGAGUUAAACAGUACGUGAAAUUGUUGAAAGGGAAACGAUUGAAGUCAGUCAUGCUCUUGGGACUUACCUCCCUUGAGUGGGGUCAACAUCAGUUUUGAUCGAUGGAUAAAGGCACGGGGAAGGUAGCACUCUCGGGUGAACUUAUAGCCUCGCGUCAUAUACAUUGAUUGGGACUGAGGAACGCAGCAUGCCUUAUGGCCGGGAUUCGUCCACGUACAUGCUUAGGAUGUUGACAUAAUGGCUUUAAACG
rnacentral:rRNA from 1 species